rnacentral:rRNA from 1 species
AGGGUGUAAACGCUGCGGGCUUGGUGUUGGGGGUCCUUUGAGGGCGCCCAGUGCCGGAGAGAAGUUGUUAAGCCUGCUGCUUGGGGAGUACGUCCGCAAGGAUGAAACUUAAAGGAAUUGGCGGGGGGAGCACCGCAACGGGAGGAGCGUGCGGUUCAAUUGGAUUCAACGCCGGACAACUCACCAGGAACGACGGUUACAUGAAGGCCAGGCUGAUGACCUUGCCUGAUUUUCCGAGAGGAGGUGCAUGGCGUCAGUGACU